rnacentral:rRNA from 1 species
UACGUAGGGCGCAAGCGUUGUCCGGAAUUAUUGGGCGUAAAGAGCUCGUAGGCGGUUUGUCGCGUCUGCUGUGAAAUCCCAGGGCUUAACCCUGGGCCUGCAGUGGGUACGGGCAAACUAGAGUGCGGUAGGGGAGAUCGGAAUUCCUGGUGUAGCGGUGAAAUGCGCAGAUAUCAGGAGGAACACCGGUGGCGAAGGCGGAUCUCUGGGCCGUAACUGACGCUGAGGAGCGAAAGCAUGGGUAGCGAACAGG